rnacentral:rRNA from 1 species
GGGUCAGUAGGUUGGUCGUGCCACCGGUACGUACUGGUCUCACUGAUUCCUCCCUCCUGAAGAACCAUAAUGCCAUUAAUUUGGUGUUGCGGGGAAACAGGACUGUUACUUUGAAAAAAUUAGAGUGUUUAAAGCAAGCUAACGCUUGAAUACAUUAGCAUGGAAUAAUGAAAUAGGACGAUCGAUCCUAUUUUGUUGGUUUCUAGGAUUGACGUA